GACGAACGCUGGCGGCGUGCUUAACACAUGCAAGUCGAACGCUGAAGCUCAGCUUUUGUUGGGUGGAUGAGUGGCGAACGGGUGAGUAACACGUGAGUAACCUGCCCCCUUCUUUGGGAUAACGCCCGGAAACGGGUGCUAAUACUGGAUAUUCACUGGUCUUCGCAUGGGGGCUGGUGGAAAGGGUUUUUCUGGUGGGGGAUGGGCUCGCGGCCUAUCAGCUUGUUGGUGGGGUGAUGGCCUACCAAGGCUUUGACGGGUAGCCGGCCUGAGAGGGUGACCGGGCACAGUGGGACUGAGAUACGGCCCAGACUCCUACGGGAGGCAGCAGUGGGGAAUAUUGCACAAUGGGCGCAAGCCUGAUGCAGCGACGCCGCGGGAGGGAUUGAGGCCUUCGGGUUGUGAACCUCUUUCGCUCAUGGUCAAGCCGCAACAAUGGUUGUGGUGAGGGUAGUGGGUAAAGAAGCGCCGGCUAACUACGUG
rnacentral:rRNA from 1 species